AUGAAUCCCUCCAGCCCCAGGAGACAUUAGCUACUCUUUUCAGUAUCAAGUUGGUUGACUGGAUGUUACAGAGUCGCAUCUUCAAAAACAGCGAUCUCAUGAGACAAGAGUGGGCAAGACUCACAAUCAGAGCCACUCAUGGAUGCUGGGCCAGAAGAGGACUGCGAGAGACCCCGCUGCAGUUACGGCCACAGGAGGGACAAACAGAUGGGCAGAGCUGAGCAUCCACUGCAGUGAUGGUGGGAGGAAAUGUACUUGCGUUCUGUACUGAAGCAAAAGGCUGGGUCUUCAGAGGGACUUGAGCCAGGCUAAGGAUUUGAAAUUCACUUUGUAGGAAGUUGGGAGCCUCUGCAAAGCCUUAAGAGAGGACCUCGAGCUUUCGAAGCAGGCAGCAGAACC
rnacentral:lncRNA from 1 species